rnacentral:rRNA from 1 species
CCUACGGGAGGCAGCAGUGAGGAAUAUUGGUCAAUGGGCGGAAGCCUGAACCAGCCAAGUCGCGUGAGGGAAUAAGGCCCUACGGGUCGUAAACCUCUUUUGCCGGGGAGCAAGGGCCGGGACGCGUCCCGGCCCGGAGAGUACCCGGAGAAAAAGCAUCGGCUAACUCCGUGCCAGCAGCCGCGGUAAUACGGAGGAUGCGAGCGUUAUCCGGAUUUAUUGGGUUUAAAGGGUGCGUAGGCGGGCUUUUAAGUCAGCGGUAAACAUUCGGGUCUCAACCCCGUCCGGCCGUUUAAACUGGGGGC